rnacentral:lncRNA from 1 species
AUGAAGGGUGACAUUCCACCAUCCAGCCAGUCAGAACAACCAAAAGCAGAAAUCAGCAUUUCAGUAGGUUUUCCAACCAGUUCUUUCUCCUGUCUCACACUUCAUAUUAAAGUGGCCUUUAGCAACUGGGAAACACGUGUAACUGUUACAACUAUGGCAUCAUAUUCACCAUCGUCUUCGCCAUCACCGUCAGCACCACCUUCAGCAGCACCAGCAGCAUCAUUGUCUUCAUCAACAUCAUUGAAUUUGUUGAUUUCAUUCUAUUGGCCAUGAAUCAUGGUAAAGUAAUUUACAUGGAUUUUUCUCAAUUAAUAUUCACUCUAACCUUAUGUGAUUUCCAUAGAUUGUCACCACUCACAGAUAAGUAGCAGAGUCUUAGGAAGUUAGCUAAAAUAGCAUAGCUAAUAAAUAAAUGUCAGAGUGUACAAAUAGUACAUCCCUGGAUCCUGCUUUAUGAAUUGUAUUUUAGAGUGAGUGGAGUAACAUCUUGCUGAAUACAUUUCUAUGUCACCUACCUCAUGUAUCUGUUGUAACAUUAAGGCAAAGUACUUCCCGUGAAGCAGGAAAAUACUGAUCAAUGUGAAAUAUAAGAACAUCUAAAAAUAUUCUCACUAUUUAUUAAUAGUCUCAUGAAUAAAUAAGCUUAUAAAGACAUAAAAAGUAAAUAAGUUUAGGCUGUGAAGUAAUGCAUAUAAAUAUACGUGGAGAAAAGAGGUAGAAUUGUCCAAAUAUUAUGAUACUAUUAGUUUUGAACAUAGACUUGUUUCAUAGGACAUGAUAUAAUUAUAAUGUACUUUUCUUCCAUCUGCAAUAUAUAGUUUUCUAACUCCCAGGAUCUUUUCAGUGUUUGAGACUCACCUGGAACUCUGAAAGAAGACAGGAAAGCUUUCCAGCACAUUCUUUUUCAGCAACUCAGGAGGCCAUGAACAGAUUUCUAUAGAUAAUGUUCAAUUUUAUAAUAUCAGUCUUAUGUGACUAAACUUACAUGGAACCAAAAUUUUGCAAUGGCUCUGAUAAACUUUAAUAUUAGUUAAUUUAAAAAGGUUAUUAAUUUUAAAUUUUAUUAGUCAAAUAGAACUUUUGAAAUUCAAUACCAUAAAAUAACAUACCAUAGUGAGAUUUUUAUAUGUGAAAAUGUGAAAUCACUUUUAUUGUAGCUUUUCUUGUAUCAUGCCAGUGUAAAUAUACCAAUUACUUUGUUAAUAGGUCUGGUCACUCUAUGGGAUAUGCCCACAA